rnacentral:rRNA from 1 species
GUGAUUCGUCACACUAUCGUUAACUGAAUACAUAGGUUAACGAGGCGAACCGGGGGAACUGAAACAUCUAAGUACCCCGAGGAAAAGAAAUCAACCGAGAUUCCCCCAGUAGCGGCGAGCGAACGGGGAGCAGCCCAGAGUCUGAAUCAGCUUGUGUGUUAGUGGAACGGUCUGGAAAGUCCGACGGUACAGGGUGAUAGUCCCGUACACCAAAAUGCACAGGCUGUGAACUCGAAGAGUAGGGCGGGACACGUGGUAUCCUGUCUGAAUAUGGGGGGACCAUCCUCCAAGGCUAAAUACUCCUGACUGACCGAUAGUGAACCAGUACCGUGAGGGAAAGGCGAAAAGAACCCCGG